GGUUACCUCUGGGAAUAACAUUGAUGCCUACACUGACUGUCAUUCGUUUCAUCAGGAAGUGCAUAGAGGAUGUUGUUCCUACAGUGAUGGUUAGAACUUAUCCAAACCAAAAACUGUGGAUUAAUGGCAGCAUUCGAGCAAUACUGAAAGCGCGACCCACCGCAUUUAAUCACAGCAAGGUGUAAUGGACGUGGGAACAUGAACGAGUACAAACACACCAGCUACAACCACCGUAAGUCAAUCAAGCAAAAAUACAUUAUCGGGACAAAGUGGAGUCUCAAUUCAAUGGCCUAGACAUGAGACGCAUGUAGCAGGGACUUCAUACAAUAACGGAUUAUAAUAGAAAAACCAGCCGUCAUAUGGCAUCAUUUUCAUCUCACAAUUCAAAGAAGCAAGGAGGCAUGUCGAGAACGCGGAGAAUAACGGAGAGCGCGCAUAGAGUUGAGAGUUCAGAUAAAAAAUGGCGAAGGCGCAGAAGAUCAUGUUGAGGAGCUGUGAGAUAGUUCAGAGAAAAAUGUUGCAUGCCCAGCAAAUGGAAUUGAGCAAGAAAUUGUGUUGAGCACGCAUUUCUCUGUUCAUGGUAUACUUGCCUGCGCUCUCUCGAAAUUCACCUGUGCUUGCACGAUAUGAUCUCUGUGUGCUCGCAAAUCUACAAUAACAUGUUACUCAAAUAUGAUUGCCAGCCUUAUUGACCAAUCAUAGCAGUGAUUUUUGUUACAAUGCAAUUGAUUGGCUAGCUAAAUGGAAGGCGGGACCCAUACAACAUAAUGUUUACAUCCCCAGAUUGCUAGUAUUGUAACAUGGUGCAAUCCCAGCAAGGUGCUUCUUCUCAGGUGGAGAUGGAAGAUCACUAGAAAGGAGCAUGCUGACAGACCAGUAAGAAAGUUGUUGUUGCACAACAAAGGUAUUAUAGUCAAUGCAAUAUUGUGUAAAUUGCCCAUUUAUAAAAUGUAUCUCAAACAAAACGGUUGGAUUGUUCAGCAACAAGAGAAGUAAACGCUAACAUGGCUUUGGUGAUGAAAGUACAACACCACCCAGGAGAGGCCUGCUUGGAAACCUGGGAUGGAUCCAGGAACAUUCCUCAAGGACCUUUACAUUUUCUUUUUGGACUUGUCCAGUUGGGACAUUUAGCCAUUGUUAAACAAAGAUUGUGAAACACCCUUCUAUCUGUGUUUUGCAAGGUCUACAUAUCUUGUAAUCACUCAUUCAUACAAACUGAUACAAAUUCAAGGUCUGACAUUCACUUGUCUAUUUCCCAUUGUUCAAUCUUUGACCCAUGUCGACUCCCCACAGUUGUGUCCAGCUGGCUGGAUGUCCUUUGGGUGGUGGACCAUUCUUGAAACACACAGGAAACUGAGCGUGAAAAACCCAGCAGCGGCGCAGUUCCUGACACAUUAAAACUGGUGCACCUGCCACCUACUACCAUACCCUGUUUAAAGGCACUUGAAUAUUUUUUUGUAUUGCCCAUUUACCCUCUGAAUGGUACACAUACACAAUCCAUGUCUCAAUUGUCUCAAGGCUUACAAAUUCUUCUUUAACUGGUAUCCCCUUAAGCUACACUUGAUUGAUGUCGGAUCAUAAAGCAUCAUAGCAUUCACCUGAUCAGUUUGUCAUGGAAAGAGCAGGUGCUCCUAAUGUUUUGUACAUUCAGUAUAUUUUAGUUGACACAUGAUGUGUCUGAUAUACAUGGGAAAAAAAUAUACUGCUCAAAAAAAUAAAGGGAACACUUAAACAACACAUCCUAGAUCUGAAUGAAAGAAAUA